rnacentral:rRNA from 1 species
AUUGAACGCUGGCGGCAGGCCUAACACAUGCAAGUCGAACGAGUGGCGGACGGGUGAGUAAUGUCUGGGAAACUGCCCGAUGGAGGGGGAUAACUACUUGAAACGGUAGCUAAUACCGCAUACCAUCGGAUGUGCCCCGAUGGGAUUAGCUAGUAGGUGGGGUAACGGCUCACCUAGGCGACGAUCCCUAGCUGGUCUGAGAGGAUGAACAGCCACACUGGAACUGAGACACGGUCCAGACUCCUACGGGAGGCAGCAGUGGGGAAUAUUGCACAAUGGGCGCAAGCCUGAUGCAGCCAUGCCGCGGGUAUGAAGAAGGCCUUCGGGUUGUAAAGUACUUUCAGCGAGGAGGCGUUACUCGAAGAAGAAGCACCGGCUAACGCCGUGCCAGCAGCCGCGGUAAUAC